rnacentral:lncRNA from 1 species
UUUUUUUUUUUUUUUUUUUUUUUUACAAACCAGCCUUUUUUGUGAAUGUAUAGAGAACAUGGCUGCUAGCAGUUCCCAAGUUUAAAUCUUUGUGCACCGCUGUCAGGGGGAAAAGGAGGCAUUAACUAGUCCAGAGGGGGAAAAUAAUUAAGAGUGGCAUUCCUCAUUUCAGCUGGGCCAAUUAGCUGGCGCCUGAAUCCUGUUAAGAAUUUGGCAGUCCCCAAAAUGUCCACGCAUGGGAGAAGGUAGUCUCCGUCUCAGGAAAAGAAGUGCUGAGUUUUGUCAUACUGUAGAUGUCCACUACAAAUUGAGCACAUGUAAAGUUUUGAUAAAAAUAAACAGGUUGUAUUAAUCUCUAUUCCUAAAUUCUCCACCAUACUAUUCAUUUAUUAAUUGUAUUAGUGAAAAGUGGGGUCCUCUGCCUGACACUGGUCUAGUUACCAUGGAAAUGGAGAAUGGGGAGGAAAAUGGAAGAAAGGUAAACAAAACAAAUGAAUUAAUUUUUGAAGGUCUGUUUGUGUUUUAACUAUUCAGCCAUUACAACACUCAGAAGAAUCUUGCUUCUCAUUUUAUUCCUAUUGCCUGCUCAAAAUUCCUUGUUCACACUAUCUUUUCAAGUUACGUUUACAUGUUCACAUUUGUGAAGGGCUUUGGAAGGGAGUUUCAACUGUGCUGUGCUGUAUUUCAGAGAAAAGGCCUGUGCUAACUUCUAAGGUCACUGGAAACACCAAGUACAAGUGUCCCAUAAAGAAAAAGCAUGAUUUGGGUGAGAAAUCAUGUUUGGCUGCAACAUAGGGAAGAGGUUGGAGAUAGAGAAGCAGAUGGAGGGCAGAUUAGAGGCUUUAGAAGGUUAAGGGAAGGAAUUUGUUUUAUCCUAAAUAAGAUGGGAAAUCUAUAGCAAAUAUAUAGAGAGCUUUGCUUAGCACUGUUCUAAUCUUUUUACAUAGAUAAAUUUAUUAUCCUCACAGCAUCCCAGUAAAAUUAGUAUUAUGGGACACCUGGGUGGCUCAGUCAGAACCCCAGGAUCAUGAGAUGCUCAACCACUGAUCCUGGGGUUCUGGGAUUGAGUCCUACAUCAGGCUCCCCAUGGGGAGCCUGCUUCUCCCUUUGUCUGUCUCUGCCUCUCUCUGUCUCUCUCACGAAUAAUUUUUUUAAAAAAAGCAUUAUGAUUUUUUAACAUCCAUAUUACAGAUGAGGAAGCAGAGGUUCUAAAAGGUUAUAUAACCCACCCAAGGUCACCAAGCUAGUGAGAGGCAGAACCAGGAUUGAAACCUAGUUUCAAGGCCUAAGCACUCAACCUCCAUACUUGAGCACCUUUCUACUGCAUCAUAUAAUUUAAAAGUCAUAGUGGAGCUUAGAGUGGAAUCCCAUAUUUCAACCCUAAAGUCCAUACUCAAGACACUACACAAUACUGGAUUAAGGGAGGAACAGAUUUGUAGAUGGAAAUUAUGAACUUCCUUUGAAUAUGUUAAGGCAUUUAUGUCUUAGACUUCUGUAGGCAUCUUCAGGAGAUACUGUGUUUAUAGCGCUAAUCUUCCUUAAAAACUGCUGUUGGUAGGUGUUCUAUAUGAAACUAAGGCUCAGUUUUGUGGCUUGCCCAGAUGGUGUAUCCAAAUUAGAAUCGAGGUCAGGAGUUGACCACUUUUUCUGUAAAGAACAAGUUAGUAAAUAUUUUAGACAUUGAGGACCAUCAGGUCCCUGUCACAACUACUGAAAUACACUAUGGUGCAAAAGCAGCCAUAGACUAUCUAAGCAAAUGAGUGUGUCUAUGUUCCAAUACAACUUUCUAUAGACAACGAAACUUGAAUUAAAUAGUUUUCAUGUUAUGAAAUAUUCUUUUGAUUUUCCCUAUUUAAACAAAUAAUCCUUAGCUUGUGGCAUAUACAAAAAUAGGACAGCUAACUGGAUUUGGUCUGGAGGCUAUGACCUAGGUGGUUGGAUUCAAAACCCUGGAGUGUGCUCACAAAACUAGUAAUAACCACAGAAAUAAAAAAUAUAGGAUUGUUCUAAGGCCUAAAUGAGAUUAUGGCUACAAAGUACUUAGCACAAUUUCUAGUAGUUAGUAAGCUAUCAAAGGUCAAUUAGUAUCUUACCUGAUAAGUCCUGUCUUCAUUUGGCAUUUAGACUCCAGAGAUUUAAGAACUGUUUUCAAAUUGCAAUGUGAUUAGUCUAACAGUAAGUGGCACUCUUAUCUCAAGUUUAGAAGCUGCAGUCAGGGAGUAGGCAGGAGAAACUCAGGUGCUGCUUAUGAUACUGAGCUUGUUUUUAUUCAACAAGUGAGACUUGUUGCCUAUGUCUCUAGCCUACAAAAUCUUUUCUCCUGGAGAGAACGGGGGUGAAUUUUUCAAAAUACUUAGUAUUAUGUUGUGAAUACAGUCUUUUGAUCAGAGCUUUUGUUUCCCGGACAAGACCUGGGGGAGGCCUUGGUGCUGUUUGUUUGUACUGAGUGAAUGAUGACAGAUGCUUCUCACGUUUGCUUAACACACAUGACCAAGGUCUGUGAGUAAGGGAAGAUGUUCAAAGGAUAGGAGUCAGGUGGGGAGGCAUUGCUGGGCUGACCAGGAAUGCGUUAUAUCAGAACUACAAGGAAUGAUGUCUUUCAGGUCUUUAUUGAUUUUUUCAUUCAUUCUUUCAACAAACACGAAGAUCUGCUAUGAAUACCAUCCAACUGUUAGGAGCCAUUCAGAAUGAAAAUACUGACAUGGAAAGAUAUUCUAAAUACGAUAAAAGCAAGUUACUAUAUGUAGUCUGAGUUCAUAUUUGUGUCUAAGUAUAUUCAAAUUGGAAAAAUAAAAAUGAUUUUGUGGGUAAAGAAAUUGAGACUUAAGAAUGUAACUUGCUCUACACCAAGGACACUUCAGCUAACAAAUGGCAGAAUUAAACCUCAGGUGUAAAAGAAAAGAGAAAGAGAAAGGCAUGGUGGAAUUGGAGCCCCAGUAUUUACUGGCUGUGUAGCCUUAACUGUGGUAAUCCUUGUACCCUCUCAUAGGGUAGGUACUAUUAAUGUUGAAAAUGAAAGAGGAGACUCACUCUAAUUCUUUCUGAAGCAGUAUAUUCAGUUAGGUCUCAGGCUUGCUAAUCACGUGUGCAGAAGUGUUUGAUCUGGAAGGGCUGAGGGGGGACCUAGGAGGCUUAUGUGGUGCAUGUGUCUAGGCACUAAGCCAUCGCUAUUUACGGGAGAGAGUAAUAAAGAAGAAGAAGAAAAAAAGGAAGGCACAAAUAAUAGAAAUGAAAAAGGGACAUUCCUAUACAUUUUAUGGACAGUAUGCAAUAAUCUGAAAAUAUUGUGGAUAAGUUUAUAUGAAUAAAUGUAAAAAUUUAGACAAAAAUAGACAAAUUCUUAUAAAGUUACCAGUAUUGGUUUAAGAAUAGAAAACUUGAAUAGCUUUCUAAUGAUUUUUUUUUAAAAACAUACCAGUAGUCAAAUUCUUCUCACAAAGAAAACUUAAAGUUCAAAUAGCUUUGCUAGCAAGUUCUACCAAACAUUGUCAGAAAAAAACAAAAAACAAGCUUAUUUUAUGUAGACUCUUUCAGAGAAUAGAUAAAGAGGGAACAUUCUCUUUGUGAGACUAGCAUAGAUAAAAUACUAGCACAUUCGACCCAGGAAUAUGUAAAAAUAAAAGGUAAUGUUUUAUGGUCAAUCUGUUUAUUUUAGGAAUGCAGAAUAGAAAAUUAGUCUAUCAUAAUAGAUUAAAAGAGAAAAAUCACUUGAUCAUCUCAACAGAUGUAUGAAAGGCAUUUAUAAAAUUUAGUAUCCAUUCAUGAAAAAAAGAAAAAAA